AGAGUUUGAUUAUGGCUCAGGAUGAACGCUAGCUACAGGCUUAACACAUGCAAGUCGAGGGGCAGCAUAUCGAAAGCUUGCUUUUGAUGAUGGCGACCGGCGCACGGGUGAGUAACGCGUAUCCAACCUUCCCUAUACUAGAGGAUAGCCCGGCGAAAGUCGGAUUAAUACUCUAUGUUCUUCGUAGAAGACAUCUGAAAUGAAGCAAAGGUUUACCGGUAUAGGAUGGGGAUGCGUCUGAUUAGGUUGUUGGCGGGGUAACGGCCCACCAAGCCCACGAUCAGUAGGGGUUCUGAGAGGAAGGUCCCCCACAUUGGAACUGAGACACGGUCCAAACUCCUACGGGAGGCAGCAGUGAGGAAUAUUGGUCAAUGGACGAGAGUCUGAACCAGCCAAGUAGCGUGCAGGAUGACGGCCCUAUGGGUUGUAAACUGCUUUUAUACAGGGAUAAAGUGCACUACGUGUAGUGUUUUGUAGGUACUGUAUGAAUAAGGACCGGCUAAUUCCGUGCCAGCCGCCGC
rnacentral:rRNA from 1 species